rnacentral:lncRNA from 10 species
CUUGAGCCCUGGAGGUUGAGACUGCAAUGACCUAUGAUGGUGCCACUACACCCCAGCCUGGGUGACAGAGCAAGACCCUGUUUAAAAAAAAAAAAAGAAAGGAAGGAAGAUAUGUGUGUUGUGGGUUAGGGAACUGAGAAGGGGUGACAGUCAGGGAGUUGACACAAUAUUUAUUUCUAUUCCCUUAUAUAUUGCUGAGUAAAUAUAGCUAAAUUCUUAUGAGCCUCUGCAGGUAAACCAUAAAGCUCUCUAAGGACAAGCACCAUGUUUUCUAUUGAUCAAAUAUUGAUAGUUCUUUUAUUUCAAACAAGACUCAGUGACAGGACCUUAUAUUUGCAGCAUUAUUUAAAAUGUACAAGAUAUUUUCUAAUUUUUGUCUUAUUUGCUCUUUAUAGUAAUCAAGGCUCCACAUACCUGGUUUAGGUCACUGUACU